GCGGCUAUCGUCUAGUGGUUUAGGAUCUCACCUUCCCAUUCGCAACGUGGCGCGUGCUUCACGCGGAAGUAGGUGAGGGCGGGAGUUCGAACCUCCCUAGUCGCA